UACGUAGGGGGCUAGCGUUGUUCGGAUUUAUUGGGCGUAAAGGGCAUGUAGGCGGUUAUGUAAGUGUGGAUUUAAAGACAGAGGCUUAACCUCUUGUUUGGUCUGCAAACUGCAUGACUUGAAUCCUGGAGGGGUAACUGGAAUUCCGCGUGUAGGGGUGAAAUCUGUAGAGAUGCGGAAGAAUACCUGUGGCGAAGGCGAGUUACUGGCUAGAGAUUGACGCUAAAAUGCGAAAGUGUGGGGAG
rnacentral:rRNA from 1 species